GGUGGUUCUUGGGUGACGUACCCUCGAAUUGGGCUCCCUCCUUUCUGAUUCCUGGUUCAUCACCUGAGAACUGCA
rfam:Myotis davidii contig63631, whole genome shotgun sequence.